rnacentral:rRNA from 1 species
GACGAACGCUGGCGGCGUGCCUAAUACAUGCAAGUAGAACGCAGUUGCGAACGGGUGAGUAACGCGUAGGUAACUGCCUCAUAGCGGGGGAUAACUAUUGGAAACGAUAGCUAAUACCGCAUACUGUGAGAUGGACCUGCGUUGUAUUUGGUAGUUGGUGAGGUAAAGGCGCACCAAGGCGACGAUCCAUAGACGACCUUAGAGGGGGGUCCGCCAAAAUGGGACUGGGAAACGGGCCAGGACCCCACGGGGGGCAGGCGUAGGGAAUCUUCGGCCAUGGACGGAAAGCUGGCCGGGCAACGGCGCGGGAGUGAAGAAGGGUUUCGGAUCGUUAAGCUCGGUUGGUAGAGAAGCGGUAACUAACCAGAAAGGGACGGCUAACUACGUGCCAGCCGCCGCGGUAAUAC